GUGCUCACUUAGGCAGCACACAUACCAAAAUGGGAACGAUUUACACAGAAGAUUAGCAUGGCCCUUGCUUAAGGAUGAUACGCAAAUCCAUGAUGCGCUCCAUAAUUUU